CCUACGGGAGGCAGCAGUGGGGGAUAUUGCACAAUGGGGGAAACCCUGAUGCAGCGACGCCGCGUGUGGGAAGACGGUCCUCUGGAUUGUAAACCACUGUCCCCAGGGACGAAGAUGACGGUACCUGGGGAGGAAGCUCCGGCUAACUACGUGCCAGCAGCCGCGGUAAUACGUAGGGAGCGAGCGUUGUCCGGAAUUACUGGGUGUAAAGGGAGCGUAGGCGGGCGAGAAAGUUGAAUGUUAAAUCUACCGGCUUAACUGGUAGCUGCGUUCAAAACUUCUUGUCUUGAGUGAAGUAGAGGCAGGCGGAAUUCCUAGUGUAGCGGUGAAAUGCGUAGAUAUUAGGAGGAACACCAGUGGCGAAGGCGGCCUGCUGGGCUUUAACUGACGCUGAGGCUCGAAAGCGUGGGGAGCAAACAGGAUUAGAUACCCCGGUAGUC
rnacentral:rRNA from 1 species